UGCAAAUGAUGAUAACUUUGAUAACUUCUUGCUGUACAAAUACACUUGAUGACAACCACCAAGAUCGCUGAUGCA
rnacentral:snoRNA from 1 species